GUUGAACGCUGGCGGCAUGCCUUACACAUGCAAGUCGAACGGCAGCACGGGAGCAAUCCUGGUGGCGAGUGGCGAACGGGUGAGUAAAGUAUCGGAACGUGCCCAGUCGUGGGGGAUAACGUAGCGAAAGUUACGCUAAUACCGCAUACGAUCUAUGGAUGAAAGCGGGGGAUCGCAAGACCUCGCGCGAUUGGAGCGGCCGAUAUCAGAUUAGGUAGUUGGUGGGGUAAAGGCUCACCAAGCCGACGAUCUGUAGCUGGUCUGAGAGGACGACCAGCCACACUGGGACUGAGACACGGCCCAGACUCCUACGGGAGGCAGCAGUGGGGAAUUUUGGACAAUGGGUGAAAGCCUGAUCCAGCCAUGCCGCGUGCAGGAUGAAGGCCUUCGGGUUGUAAACUGCUUUUGUACGGAACGAAAAGGUUUGGCCUAAUAAGCUGAGCUCAUGACGGUACCGUAAGAAUAAGCACCGGCUAACUACGUGCCAGCCGCCGCGGUAA
rnacentral:rRNA from 1 species